rnacentral:rRNA from 1 species
GCCUACCAAGGCUACGAUCAGUAGGGGUUCUGAGAGGAUUAACCCCCACACUGGUACUGAGACACGGACCAGACUCCUACGGGAGGCAGCAGUGAGGAAUAUUGGUCAAUGGGCGGAAGCCUGAACCAGCCAUCCCGCGUGAAGGAAGACAGCCUUACGGGUUGUGAACUUCUUUUCUGUCAGAAGAAUAAGCUUGUCGAGACGAGUGAUGCCGGUAUGACAGGAAUAAGCAUCGGCUAACUCCGUGCCAGCAGCCGCGGUAAUACGGAGGAUGCAAGCGUUAUCCGGAUUUAUUGGGUUUAAAGGGUGCGCAGGUUGUUUGAUAAGUCAGUGGUGAAAGUCUGUCGCUUAACGGUAGGAUUGCCAUUGAUACUGUUGGACUUGAAUAUGGAUGAGGUAGGCGGAAUGUGUAGUGUAGCGGUGAAAUGCAUAGAUAUUACACAGAACACCGAUUGCGAAGGCAGCUUACUAAUCCAUCAUUGACGCUGAGGCACGAAAGCGUGGGGAUCAAACAGGAUUAGAUACCCUGGUAGUCCACGCCGUAAACGAUGAUCACUCGCUGUUUGCGAUAUACAGUAAGCGGCUAAGCGAAAGC